rnacentral:rRNA from 1 species
AACAGGAUUAGAUACCCUGGUAGUCCACGCCGUAAACGAUGUCGACUUGGAGGUUGUUCCCUUGAGGAGUGGCUUCCGGAGCUAACGCGUUAAGUCGACCGCCUGGGGAGUACGGCCGCAAGGUUAAAACUCAAAUGAAUUGACGGGGGCCCGCACAAGCGGUGGAGCAUGUGGUUUAAUUCGAUGCAACGCGAAGAACCUUACCUACUCUUGACAUCCACGGAAUUUGGCAGAGAUGCCUUAGUGCCUUCGGGAACCGUGAGACAGGUGCUGCAUGGCUGUCGUCAGCUCGUGUUGUGAAAUGUUGGGUUAAGUCCCGCAACGAGCGCAACCCUUAUCCUUUGUUGCCAGCGAUUCGGUCGGGAACUCAAAGGAGACUGCCGGUGAUAAACCGGAGGAAGGUGGGGAUGACGUCAAGUCAUCAUGGCCCUUACGAGUAGGGCUACACACGUGCUACAAUGGCGCAUACAAAGAGAAGCGACCUCGCGAGAGCAAGCGGACCUCACAAAGUGCGUCGUAGUCCGGAUCGGAGUCUGCAACUCGACUCCGUGAAGUCGGAAUCGCUAGUAAUCGUGGAUCAGAAUGCCACGGUGAAUACGUUCCCGGGCCUUGUACACACCGCCCGUCACACCAUGGGAGUGGGUUGCAAAAGAAGUAGGUAGCUUAACCUUCGGGAGGGCGCUUACCACUUUGUGAUUCAUGACUGGGGUGAAGUCGUAACAAGGUAACC